ensembl:lncRNA
CAGUAAUGAACCGGCCUGGAUUUCUUGAUGUUACUUUAAAAAUCCUAGCUCAAAGCCUUGGUAUGUGUAUAUGAAUUUUACGUACAACAAGCCGUUUCAGAGAUUAGGCUCCCUGCAUUUACUGCUUUCCAAAAUGGUCGCAGCUCCCUGAAAUUAGUGCUGGCAUUUAGGAGAGUGAGGCAAAUUCUCUCUUAGGUCGUUCCACAAGAGCAGACCUGAGCUUACCAACUAUUGUUACAUGGUUAUCAGAUACAACUUAUGUUCAGCAGCAGAAGCAGACUUAAAAAGUGCUGGGAAUUAUCCACGUCCUUUGCUCUCAAGAAAGCAAGGUCCAUACUAUAGCGUAUAAAACAAAGACAAAGGAUUUUUUAUUUUAAGCAUUUAAGCCUAUUUGAUUUAGCACCAGGGCACCAAACAACCUGCCUUCUUUAAAUGGAUUGAUUUUUUUCAGCCAAUUUGCCGGCUGCGGCGGCAAUAUGGAAUGGCUGGCACAAGUCAUUCUGCAUUUUUCAUUCUAGGUGUUCUCAGCUCUUAAGAACUGGGCGUUUGCAGUAUUUGAUGUGAAUCUCUGACCAGAAUCUGUUGUAUUCAAAGGGUAAUUCUGAAGAAAGUUUACAAUUAAGCAAACAUUAGAUUGUGGCCAUUGUUUUUGGCCAGGUGGACUCCUAAUAUUCUGGUCAGAGAAGCUACACUUGAUCUGGGACGAUCCAUACUAGGAGAAGAUGGUGAGAACAAGGAGGUCCUAUCGACCUCUUCAGCUACAAGCCAGCAUGCGUGGCAGCCUGCAGAUUCUCUCGGUUUCUUCAUGACUGCGUCUCCGUUUACUAGCCACAACCAUAAUACCAAAGGUCCAUCACCUUUUGAAAAAUGGCACCAGUUUUAGCAGUGUACUGA